GGAGCUUUCUGGUACUGGAAACACUGCACGAAAACAGGAAGUAGAGUUGAGUAGUCAUUCUGCACGCAGCCAAGCAGCUAAAAACAACGCUACGGUGCAGCUCUUUCAGUGCAGCUAUUUCUUGUCACGCUUCAGCCUCGGAAAAUAUUUGUUUAUUACGGCCGCAACAAUAAUAGGAUACAAUUCAAACAACGUUGAAGAUUGCUCUGUGGAAGGAAGGGACUAGAUCUCGGGAGGCCAAUUCCCGUCGAACCACUUGGAACCUGAGAUACCACCGAAGCCCUGAGAGGGGGCAGCAUCGGUAUAGAGACUGAGAGAGUCUGCAGAGUUAGGGCUUGGAGGAUGUCUGCAUUGGAGACGGAGCUGGCAUGAAUGGGGAAGUUUAGGAUGAUGUCGGGUAAAUCCGACCCGGACUGGGGAGCUUGAACGGUGGAGGCAUCGACAACUGGAGAUGGGAACAGAGACUUGGAGGUUGAUGCAUCAGAUUGAUGAGAUCCUCACAGGAAACACCAGCGCUGUAAGAAAUGUUCCUGGAGAACAGGGUAUUGAGAAGCUGAGGAAUUUUCCAUGACUGAUAUUUCCUCUUUUUAUUGGUGUAAGCGCGUUGAAGAGACAGCCGAGACAUUCUCUUGAGGCUCGGAGUUGCUGGGCUCUCAGGAGCCGAAAUGCGACUUUCAGAUCAAGGAGUCGAAUACAUAGUGCCAGGUAAGCGAACCAAACAAAGAAACGACAGGGGUUUGUGGACAGAGAGACCUAUUUAACUGGUUCAAUUGGUAACGUAUGUGAUUGAUGGGUGGAGUCUCCUUUCGGAAAGACAACACGUUUCCAAUUCUUAAAAGCUAUUUCCCCAUCACUAAUAUCGAUGACGAUAAAGAAAUGUUUUGUUACUUUUUUUCUCUGUGCAAUUAAAAAAUCCUAGGAGACCAAAAGAAAUAGAAUUAGCACUGCAAUCCCACUGCAAUUGAAAAGGAAAAACAAUCUCAGUCAGUCACAGAGCUAUAGAACACCUCCAUUCAGCUGGCAUUAGGAAUGAAGAAUAGAACCACUAAUGACUUAGAGAAUGACAUACGACACCUUUCCAUAGACACAGGGAAAACUACAAGAACACUUCUUCUGUCACACACAGGUAGAGAAAUUGUAAAAAUAAAACUAACAGCUUCUGCUGCAGUGAAGUGAUAUAUGGGAGCAGGAGGUAGAGUAUUGAUCAGGGGACAGCAGGGAGACAGAUGCUACUGAGUGCUGGAGUUUGCUGCUGAACUUGCCUCCUUGCAAUCCUGUUUGUCUGUUUAUGAAGGUUGCAGAUGUUGAUUAAUGCCGUUCCUCUGCCUUUCGUCUCGGAGGAUUUUGUUAGCACUGUAACAACUUUGUAACACCUGGGACUGUGUUUUUGCCAUCUAAAAAGCAAUACAAUAAACAAAAGCAAUAGACAAAGGGUAGUAAGGGGGCUCUAGCUUUCAAGAAUUUCACAGUUUUUCCAGUCAGGAUAUAUACACCCCACCUCCUAUCCCCUCCCCUGGAAUAUACCAUUCUGGAAACACAUAAAAACUAUUUACAAGGCAAAUUUAAAACCAGCAUUAUUGUAAUCCAGGGAAUCCAUAUGGUAAAUCACUUGUUAGCAUUUAGGCUUGUAGCGGAAUACAGGAUUGGAAAGGGAUAUCUGUGUUACAGAGAGAAGCACUUUGGAAUGAGUAGUCCUGUGAGUAACAACAGUAAAUCAGCCGUGGCGCUGCAUGCAAGUGAAUCUCCUAAUAUACACUACAUACAUUACACUUCAGUACUUCCUCUUAACCAAAUAAAUUGUAUUGGUUCUCACAGAGUAGGACUUUAACAAUAAUCCAUGAUGUCACCAGAAGUGGGCAGAACUAAAACUGGAAGUGGCAGAAAGUGCAUUCCAGCAGUUCAGCUAGGACAAACCCCCACAGCACACAAUUUGUAAUGAAUGGUAUUUAUUUAAUGAUUAUGGUGUAUGUUACAAGAUGGGAGAUUUGGCCCCUAGCCCACUUGGUUUGAGGAGCCAUCACCUGGCUGUUAGGAUGAGACAAUAGGCCCCCUAUAGUUCCCUGUAGACAAUGAAAAGAGGCAUUUUAAGUGACAGUUCCAUUUAUAUUUAUAUUGUUUCCGAUUGGCUGAAAGGUCAUGUAUGAAGCAGGCCAGGCGCUUGAUCUUGCUUACAGUCUUGGUCAGGUUUUAUUAAACAGUGACUCCAAUAUACAGGCUUAGCAAUAGCAGAAACACACAAAUUAAUUGGCCAGCAGAUAGUAUAUAAACUGUGGUAGGAUUAGAGUAAGAAAAUAAUAAAAGUAAAGGGAAGCAGUAGAAAGCAAUCUGCACUCCACCACAUCUCCUGCACAACAAGCUCCUCCUCCUUUUCUCCCAGCAUUCUCUCUCCUCUCUCUAGCUACGGGAGCUGUUAAGGUACAAAAUAAUAUACGUACACUAACAAAAUCAAACUAAAUAUUGUAAUUACUGCUAGCUUCAUUAUAACGGCUCAGAUAAUGUAUAUAGAGGUGCAGUCCUUCCACCCGAACUGGAGUUUAAAAUGUACAUUUCUGACUCUGAAAUGAAAAGACUGGGCUUUCAUGUUCAUUAACAUUUAAGGAUUUUGAUUGAGAGACCUAAUGUGCAUUUUAGCACGCUUUACAGCACUGGGGAUUCACCCUGGAUUACAUCAAACAUGUAUCUGUGUUUAUAAUCCAGGAGUGAUGCAAUUCAGGUGGCAUAUAAAUGCAAUAAGAACCAUUCUGAAUGAUAGCAAGCAUCCAAGAAGAAAAAAGUGACUCUUUAAACUAACCUCAGAGAUAUUGGCCACUAAUCAUUUGUUUGCUUUCUUACAUGAAGAGUUUAUUUAAGUAUAUCUUUUUUUUGUUGCAUCAAAAUGUUAUUUUACCUUUCAAUUGUGUGAGUUGUUUCCUAUGUCAAUUGGCCAAUCUAUGUCUGUUCCCUAUGUCAAUCGGUCAAUCUAUGUCUGAAUUGUAAAUAGUACGGUGUAGUUUACUAAAGUUAGUGUUAAAAAUACUAACUUUAUCACCUUUUGAUUUUACACAUACAACAUUAAUAACAACACUUUUAAAUGUUGUAUGAGUACACAAAACAGCUUUAAAAUAUCUACUGUUAACAGUACACCUUGAACUGAUACAAAGCACUUGAACCUGGCAGUCGCUUUAUCCUGGGCCUACCUUCCAUACUACAGUUGUCUUAUAAACUGCUGGAGGCUGGCUGGUUGGAGAAUGAAAAGCAGCUUCUGUGUCACCUGUGACAGGAAAUGUGAUGAUGGAGCUUGAUUCCAGUGCUGCCGAUUGUGAGUCCACAUGAUUACAAUUUCCCCACAUAAGCAUCAACACCCAGGUGGCUGCAAGCCCCAUCACAGUUUCCAAUUGAAAUGCACUCGGUCUGCUUUGUGAGAAAUGUACCUGUGCAAGCCGGAGUUACAAAUGGAAAGCACUGAACUGUGAAUAUUACAUCUUGUAGCUGUUGAAUGUGCAUACAUUCUAGAAGUCUGUAAAACCACCAAUAUGGUGCAUGUUACACAGGCAGAAGGCACAAUAUAUCACAAAGAUACCAGUAUCCAGCAAUUGGAUAACCAGCUCAAUACCUUUACAGCCACUGGUUUUGAUGGCCUACUUCCAAUCUAAACCCGACUCAAUGGGGUAAUAACCCAGGCUUUUAAACCAAUUUGCUUACCCCAUAUUAGCAUUAUAACUCUCACAAGCCUGUCAUCAGUUUGCCAUUUUACUAACAGUAUUUUAUUUUUUGACUCAUGUGUAUUCAGUUCAUCCUGCUGUUAUACUGUGAGGCCAUGAUGAACCCGGUUUUGAUGACCCUAAACAUGUUUGCUCCUGAUUUUGAUUAAAACACUUUUGCCCUUCAGUGCAUUUCGAUUUGGCCUUGUCUUUUUUAUUUACAUGUUAACUGCAAGCGAUUUUGAUACCUCUGCAAAGGGAGGGACUCUUAUGUGUCAAAGCGACUACCUAAAUGAGAGACACACAUACAGUGUGAAGCCAAGACCAAGGUCAGCACUCCCCAGCUCCUGUAAGUGAGAAGGAUGUGGGUUGUGUUUUCUCUUUAAUAUCAGAAUAGCUGGUCCAGCAUAUGUAUCAUUUAAAGUAGCUGAUAAAUAUUAAGCCUAACACCCAUGCUUCCAGGUACUGCUGGAUAGCAAUGCAAAAAACAUUAUGUGUAGAAUGUCUUUUUAGACUUGCUAAAUAUGUAAAGUGACGCAGUUAGGCCUGUACGCCAUUGAAAAAUCUACGAAUACAGAAUGCUGAGAUACUGCUUAGUAUAAUAAUAGUAUUCUAUGAAAACUGCAUGGAAAAUCCUAAUGUAAUGUUUCUGAAACAAAGAUUGCAGGGAUUAAGGAUACGAUCAGUUUGCUGGAAACUGAAGAAGUGCCAGAAUCUCGUUGCUGCGUUCGUGGUAUAUACCAAAGCUUUAACUGGGUUGGCUGAACAAGCCACCUCCAUCACAGGAAGCCUAUAAGAGGAAGUGCCUGAGCAGCCAACUCUCAACAUUUUCCUUUUCAUUUCUGUCUUGAGAGGACCAGCUAUUCGGGUGAGAUUAUUCCUUUGCCUUGCUUUAUUUUUUUGUAGUUUUCUGAUAUUCGCAAAAAAAAUAUUUGUUAUGUUGUGUUGUCUGCUUAUUAGGCCUGUGCCGAGCAACGAGUACAAACUAAUAUGCAUGACGAUUACGGGCAAUUUCCAGAGUACGAGGAAUACACAAGUUAUUUUUAUAUUACACAGAGAGUAAAAAAACUAUGUAAAAAAAUUGAUUGAAUCAGCUCCCUGCUCCAAUAUGGCAGUGACAACUGUAAAUCUCAAGUCUAGACACGUUUUCCAUUAGGGGCUGUCUAAAAUUCUUAGCAUUUUCUCAAAGUGUACAGUGGGUAUCCAUAGUUACCAUACUUGGUUUAGAAAUACAUUUCUAGUCUGUAAAUAAGUCUGACGAAGGCUUUUAUGCUAAUUUGGAAAAAAAAGAACACACUUGUCACCACAUUGUACGAAAUUCACUAUCACUAAGAACUGUGUUUGUGUUUUGUGUUUAGUGUUGGUGUGUAAAACUGGACUUUUUGGUUAUGGGUCAAACCCUGGGAAUUACAAAUACCGAGUGAUACACGCCGCUGUAUCACUCCAACAUUAUUAUUUACAGGCAUUUGCCAGAAGGCUCUGGACAUUGUUAAUUAAAUCA